rnacentral:lncRNA from 1 species
GGGCGCGGCGAACCUCCUCCAGUCGACGGUGUCGUAGCGGGCCGCGGCCGGCCGCCUCCUGCCGCCGGUGGCACAGCCGGUUGAGGGCCAGCGCCUCUCUCAGCUGGUGGCAUGGCGUCUUCAAUGAGUUCGGCAGCGGCGCUGCAGUCGACGCUGGCGGAAUGCGCGGCCAGUGGAAUGCGUCCGAUUCGGCAUCUAGGAGUAGAGAUUUUUUCUUUUUUUUCUGCCAACGCCGUCAGACGGCGUCUGGGAAGCCACGGGAUGGGCUUGGACGGGCUGGACCGGGGCUUGGCUUGGACGGGCUGAGCCCAAGCGAGACCCAGAUGCAAAAUAAUUAAACAAUUAAUUCCUAAAAUUAUGUGUUUUGAGAUUCGUGUAAAAUUUUAAAAAAGGGAGUACCGGAGCAGUUGCCUUAGAUUUUUGGGAAAGAUUAAGGUGGAUACCAAAUGACUUUGUUGCCCCUAAUCAAUUGGAGAUAGCUUCCAUACAAACUUAAUUAACAAGGCAAAAGAUCUGCAUGCAUGCAUAUAUGUGAAAGAAAUCAUUUUGGGUUCUUUCACUAAGGUCAUCCCAGUGAGAGUUUGAUGACCUUAUUUCCAACAAACAACGUAGA